AGAGUUUGAUCCUGGCUCAGAACGAACGCUGGCGGCAGGCUUAACACAUGCAAGUUGAACGUGAUUUGCUGGGUGCUUGCACCGAGCAAUGAAAGUAGCGCACUGGUGAGUAACACGUGGGAACGUACCUUUUGGUGGGGAACAACAGUUGGAAACGACUGCUAAUACCGCAUAAGCCCUGAGGGGGAAAGAUUUAUCGCCGAAAGAACGGCCCGCGGAAGAUUAGGUAGUUGGUGGGGUAACGGCCUACCAAGCCGACGAUCUAUAGCUGGUCUGAGAGGACGAUCAGCCACAUUGGAACUGAGACACGGUCCAAACUCCUACGGGAGGCAGCAGUGAGGAAUAUUGGGCAAUGGACGCAAGUCUGACCCAGCCAUGCCGCGUGAGUGAAGAAGGUUUUCGGAUUGUAAAGCUCUUUCGGGUGUGACGAUGAUGACGGUAGCACCUAAAGAAGCCCCGGCUAACUUCGUGCCAGCAGCCGCGGUAAUACGAAGGGGGCAAGCGUUGUUCGGAAUUACUGGGCGUAAAGGGAGUGUAGGCGGUUAUGUAAGAUAGUGGUGAAAUCCCAGAGCUUAACUUUGGAAUUGCCAUUAUGACUAUGUGGCUAGAAUUACAGAGAGGAUAGUGGAAUACCCAGUGUAGAGGUGAAAUUCGUAGAUAUUGGGUAGAACACCAGUGGCGAAGGCGACUAUCUGGCUGUAUAUUGACGCUGAGGCUCGAAAGCAUGGGGAUCAAACAGGAUUAGAUACCCUGGUAGUCCAUGCUGUAAACGAUGAGUGCUUGUUGUCGGUGUAAAAUCGGUGACGAAGUUAACGCGUUAAGCACUCCGCCUGGGGAGUACGGUCGCAAGAUUAAAACUCAAAGGAAUUGACGGGGACCCGCACAAGCGGUGGAGCAUGUGGUUUAAUU
rnacentral:rRNA from 1 species